rnacentral:rRNA from 1 species
UGGGGAAUAUUGGACAAUGGGCGCAAGCCUGAUCCAGCCAUGCCGCGUGAGUGAUGACGGCCCUAGGGUUGUAAAGCUCUUUCGGCGGAGAAGAUAAUGACUGUAUCCGCAGAAGAAGCCCCGGCUAACUUCGUGCCAGCAGCCGCGGUAAUACGAAGGGGGCUAGCGUUGUUCGGAAUCACUGGGCGUAAAGCGUAUGUAGGCGGAUUGUUAAGUCAGGGGUGAAAUCCCGAGGCUCAACCUCGGAACUGCCUUUGAUACUGGCUUUCUUGAGUUCGGGAGAGGUGAGUGGAACUCCUAGUGUAGAGGUGAAAUUCGUAGAUAUUAGGAAGAACACCAGUGGCGAAGGCGGCUCACUGGCCCGAUACUGACGCUGAUGUACGAAAGCGUGGGGAGCAAA